rnacentral:rRNA from 1 species
GCCCGGGGACUACGAGCCCCAGCUUAAAACCCAAAGGACUUGGCGGUGCUUUAGACCCCCCUAGAGGAGCCUGUUCUAGAACCGAUAACCCCCGUUAAACCUCACCCUCCCUUGUUUUACCCGCCUAUAUACCGCCGUCGUCAGCUCACCCUAUGAAGGACAAACAGUGAGCACAAUUGGCAACACCCAAAACGCCAGGUCGAGGUGUAGCGUACGAGAGGGGAAGAAAUGGGCUACAUUCACUGACACAGUGAAAUACGAAAGAUAGCUUGAAACAACCAUCUGAAGGAGGAUUUAGCAGUAAGGAGGGAAAUAGAGCGUCCCCCUGAAACCGGCCCUGAAGCGCGCACACACCGCC